CUCCAGAUUUGUCAGACAAUACACUAAUGUGUAUCAUUCUCUCAGGAGGCAAUCUGAGGACAGAGCAUCGGGCCCUAAAAAGGAACCAGCCAGAGCUUCUGAUGAACCCAGACAUAAAUCAAUUCUAUUCCAGGAGCAGUCCUUCAACACUAAGCAUGGGCAAGGCCUUCUUUGCAGAGGUAGACUUCACUUCUGGAGGAAUGGAAGGAGGUGAUCAUCAGAAAUUACACAAAGCCAGAAGAUAUUCAUGGAGUAUUUCCAAAGAGAGGGCUCGGGAUGAGGCGAGACGACGCCACUCCUCGGUGUGUUGGACAGAUUUUUCUUUAGGGAUGGUCGGGACUAGAUACCCCUGAGGAGGUUCUUUCCAGCUCUGAAAGAGAUGACGUGACUUCUGCAGAUCACUUGGCAAGUCAUCGAUGGAACUGAGGCAUGCACCCUGGCUGCCCACCUCCCAGGCCAGGGUUCUGUCCCAUGCAAUAAGCUGGGUUAGCUCCAAGGACCCUCAGAAGUGAUUGACCAGUGUGAGGAGGCCCAGAGCCCAGAGAUAGGCAUGUCCCCAUGUUGGCCCAUGUUCCUGACCUUUCUAUAACCAAGGAAACAGACUCCCAGUCCAAGUCUUCGUAGAAGUCAACAAAAGAGAAGUUACCUCACAGAUUCUAGGAAGGUGCGCUCAAAGCCAAAAGCCGUGUCACUGUCCCACUUCCUCCUCUCUUGGCUCAGCUCCACCACCUCUACAGCACUUCAGGAACACCUUGGAGCCUCAACUCUAUUGUUUCUAGAUCUUUGAGUAGUCGGUCCCCUGGCUGUGUUCUGGUCCAGUUGGAGGGUCCCCACAAUCCGAGUGGCUCCAAGGAUUGCUCUGGGAUCAGUGAGAUAGUCUAGAUUAGUGCCUUGCCCUUUGCUACCCCUGUCUCCCAACCCUUUCUUUUUUUUUGAGAGAGCCAGCAGCAGAGCUGAGGUUCAAAUCCAGGUCCCCUAACUCUGGCUUUUUAAGAAUUGACACCACCCUAUUGUCUUCUGAACAGCUUUUCUUCCUCAGUGGGCUAAUUGCUCUUACUCCAUCCCCACCUUUGAGAUGCCAAACCCCAUCGCUUCAUUUUACAGAUGGGGAAACUGAGGACCAGAGAGGGAGGAUAACUUCCAGCAAGUCAGUGAUGUAGUUGGGAUCAGAGCUUAAGUUUCUAAGGUCUUGACAACCAGUCAACAAUCUACCAACCUACAGGAACCCAGUUGAGCAUUCUUUCUUUUGGUCUGGGUCAGGAAGGACACUUGUAAGCAGAGAGGGGACUUCUGGCAGAAUGAGUGACAGCUGACACCUCUAUAGCAGUUAGCAUCCUAUUUUCCAUGGGAGCCUUUCCACCAUCCUCAAAAGGACAUGGGGUAGAGUGGUGUUGGGAGACAAGGGCUUGAAGCCUUGCUCAGAUAUCUCCUUGGCAAUUUGUUACCAAGAAAGUCACUCGAGACUAAGAUUCUAGAUUUGUAAGGUACCUUAGAGAUUACCUAGCCAAACUUCUUCAUUUUAUAAUGGAGGGAAUAGAGGCAAGGUCAGGAUUUGAACUCAGGUCCUCUGACUCCAAGUCUAGGGCUCUUUCUACUACCUCUUUGAGCAUGUUUUUUUUUUUCCUGAAAAAAGCUGAAGACUUUGUGCAACCUCACUUAAAUCCAAUUCAAGAGUAAUGACAUCAUGCAUGACGUCAUUGGUCCUCUUUGGAAAUGAAGAAUGAACAACAAGGGGGUGAUUGAUGAAAUGUGUGUCAUUUGUCAUGCAUGGAGCCAAUGAUGCCACACUCUCAGAAGCUAUGCCAUUUUGUCCCUACCUCAGUUUCCUUCUUUGUUAAAUGGGACUAGAUGAUCUCUAAAAUGUUCUUCUCUUGAAAUGGAUGUAUUAAGGCUUGGAGGUAACCUUGUGAGUUUAAGAAAUCCAAAGGUUCUGGGUCCCAACACAUGUGAGUUGAAUGGUAAUAGUCCCUAGCAAUUACUCUGGUACUCUCGGAGAGGAUGGCCAUCCAUGAGAGGAUUGGUCCAACCCUGGCAAUUCUACCAGAAGAAGUUGGGACAGUAGGUACAGAGCUGAGGUGAAAUGUAAAUGAUGAGGUUUAAGUAUCAGGGUCAUUACAGAUUUUGCACAGGACUUAUACAUUGGUACCAAAUACUGUUCUUUAAGUUUGGUUCUUUAUCAAAUACAUUCUUGUGACUGUUCUGUUUAUCAUUCCCUUUGUGUGUAGGAAAUAAAUAUCUGUCCAAUAUCUGAUUCA
ensembl:lncRNA